CGGGAAACUGGGGAUAAUACCCUAUAGACUAUGGAUGCUGGAAUGCUUCGUAGUUGAAAGGUCCGCCGUUGUAGGAUGGGUCUGCGGCCGAUUAGGUUGUUGUUGGGGUAACGGCCCAACAAGCCUGUAAUCGGUACGGGUUGUGGGAGCAAGAGCCCGGAGAUGGAUUCUGAGACACGAAUCCAGGCCCUACGAGGGGCAGCAGGCGCGAAAACUGUACAAUGCGGGAAACCGGGAUAAGGGAACUCUGAGUGCCCGUAAAAUCGGGCUGUCCAUCAGUUUAGAUAACUGGUGAAGAAAGGGCCGGGCAAGACCGGUGCCAGCCGCCGCGGUAGCA
rnacentral:rRNA from 1 species